CCUACGGGUGGCAGCAGUGGGGAAUAUUGCACAAUGGGGGAAACCCUGAUGCAGCGACGCCGCGUGAAUGAAGAAGUAUUUCGGUAUGUAAAGCUCUAUCAGCAGGGAAGAAAAUGACGGUACCUGACUAAGAAGCCACGGCUAACUACGUACCAGCAGCCGCGGUAAUACGUAGGGGGUAAGCGUUAUCCGGAUGUAGUGGGUGUAAAGGGAGAGUAGACGGCCAGACAAGUAAGAAGUUAAAGCCCAGGGAUCAACCCUGGUACUGCAUUUGAAACUGCCGGGCUGGAGUGCAGGAGAGGUAAGCGGAAUUCCUAGUGUAGCUGUGAAAUGCGUAGAGAGUAGGAGGAACACCAGUGGCGAAGGCGGCUUACUGGACUGUAACUGACGUUGAGGCUCGAAAGCGUGGGGAGCAAACAGGAUUAGAUACCCUUGUAGUC
rnacentral:rRNA from 1 species